AAAGCUUUAAGUUAAAUAAACUAUUAACCUUCAAAGUUAAAUAUAUAUAUAUAUAUUAUAUAAGCUUUA
rnacentral:tRNA from 1 species